GACGAACGCUGGCGGCGUGCUUAACACAUGCAAGUCGAACGGAGCGGCGAACGGGUGAGUGACGCGUGAGUAACUUCCCCCCUCUCAGGGAUGACAGUUGGAAACGGCUGCUAAUACCGGAUAGUUGGGGAUGGCUCGGGUCCAAUCAGCUUGUUGGUGGGGUAGUGGCGUACCAAGGCGACGCCGGGCCGCCGGCCUGAGACGGGGCCGGGCCCCAGUGGGCUGAGUUACGGCCCAAAGUGCAACGUCGGGCAGCAGUGGGGAAUAUUGCACAAGUGGGGAAGCCCUGAGACAGCAACGCCGCGUGCGGAAUGUCGGUCUUCGGGUUAUAAACCGCGUUCAGCCAUGACGCGGUAGUGGCAGAAGAAGCACCGGCUAACUACGUGCCAGCCGCCGCGGUAAUAC
rnacentral:rRNA from 1 species